rnacentral:rRNA from 1 species
GGGAAUUCGAUUCGGGGUGCAGCAGGCGCGAAAACUCCGCAAUACGCGCAAGCGUGACGGGGGAACCCCAAGUGCCUCAUCUUUUUGGUGAGGCUUUUUCAGAGUGUAAACAGCUCUGAGAAUAAAAGCGGGGUAAGACCGGUGCCAGCCGCCGCGGUAACACCGGCCGCUCAAGUGGUGACCACUAUUAUUGGGCCUAAAGCGUCCGUAGCCGGUUCGGUAAGUCCUUGGGUAAAUCCUGCCGUUUAACGGUAGGAAUUCUGGGGAUACUGCCGGACUCGGGGUCGAGAGAAGUCGGAGGUACUCCGGGGGUAGCGGUGAAAUGCUGUAAUCCUCGGGGGACCACCAGUGGCGAAGGCGUCCGACUAGAGCGGGCCCGACGGUGAGGGACGAAAGCCAGGGGAGCGAACGGGAUUAGAUACCCCGGUAGUCCUGGCCGUAAACGCUGUGGGCUAGGUGUUGCAUGCUCUACGAGGGCAUGCAGUGCCGUAGAGAAGUUGAUAAGCCUACCGCCUGGGAAGUACUACCGCAAGGUAGAAACUUAAAGGAAUUGGCGGGGGAGCAC